rnacentral:rRNA from 1 species
AGUGAACGCUGGCGGUAGGCCUAACACAUGCAAGUCGAACGGCAGCACAGUAAGAGCUUGCUCUUACGGGUGGCGAGUGGCGGACGGGUGAGGAAUACAUCGGAAUCUACUUUUUCGUGGGGGAUAACGUAGGGAAACUUACGCUAAUACCGCAUACGACCUACGGGUGAAAGCAGGGGAUCUUCGGACCUUGCGCGAUUGAAUGAGCCGAUGUCGGAUUAGCUAGUUGGCGGGGUAAAGGCCCACCAAGGCGACGAUCCGUAGCUGGUCUGAGAGGAUGAUCCGCCACACUGGAACUGAGACACGGUCCAGACUCCUACGGGAGGCAGCAGUGGGGAAUAUUAGACAAUGGGCGCAAGCCUGAUCCAGCCAUACCGCGUGGGUGAAGAAGGCCUUCGGGUUGUAAAGCCCUUUUGUUGGGAAAGAAAAGCAGCAGGUUAACACCCCGCUGUUCUGACGGUACCCAAAGAAUAAGCACCGGCUAACUUCGUG